GCGGCGGACGGGUGAGUAACGCGUGAACAAUCUGUCCUAUACAGGGGGAUAACGUUUGGAAACAGACGCUAAUACCGCAUAAGACUGGUUUUGGGCAUCCAAAGCUAGUGGAAGGAGAAAUCUGGUAUAGGGUGAGUUCGCGUCCCCAUUAGAUAGUUGGUGAGGUAACGGCUCACCAAGUCGACGAUGGGUAGCCGAUCUGAGAGGAUGACCGGCCACACUGGAACUGAGAGACGGUCCAG
rnacentral:rRNA from 1 species